GUGGGUAUAGCUCAGUGGUAGAAUGCAUGCUUAGCAUGCUUGAAGUCCUAGGUUCAAUUCCUGUUACUUCCA
rnacentral:tRNA from 1 species